rnacentral:rRNA from 1 species
UGGUGCCAGCAGCCGCGGUAAUUCCAGCUCAAUAGCGUAUAUUAAAGUUGUUGCCGUUAAAAAGCUCGUAGUUGAACCUUGGACCUGGCUGAUCUGUCCUCCUAAUCGAGCGCACGGAUUCGGUCGGGUCUUUCCUUCUGGGGAGCCCUAUGCCCUUCACUGGGUGUAGUGGGGAACCAGGACUUUUACCUUGAAAAAAUUAGAGUGUUCAAAGCAGGCCUUUGCUCGAAUACAUUAGCAUGGAAUAAUAGAAUAGGACAUCGGUUCUAUUCUGUUGGUUUCUAGGACCGCUGUAAUGAUUAAUAGGGAUAGUCGGGGGCGUCAGUAUUCAAUUGUCAGAGGUGAAAUUCUUGGAUUUAUUGAAGACUAACUACUGCGAAAGCAUUCGCCAAGGAUGUUUUCAUUAAUCAGGAACGAAAGUUAGGGGAUCGAAGACGAUCAGAUACCGUCGUAGUCUUAACCAUAAACUAUGCCGACUAGGAU